UAGAGUGCUUGCCUAUGAUAUGCAAGGACUCAGGUUGGAGCCCCAGUGCUGAAAGACUCAGGAAAUUAAGGCAUGAAGUGGUGACUGGGCAGAUAGCCUUAAGGAAGAAACAGCUGUUUUGAGGAACAGAGCUGUGUCAGCAGAGUGUUUUCACACAAAUAAACUGACUUUUGCAUUGAGAACGUGAAUCAACAGAUACCACAAGGUCAAAGUUCCCAGGCUUCCAGAAUUGAGGAAUUCUGGAAGGAAGCUGUUUAUAGUCAUUUCUCUAAGGAAGAAAUUGGAGAGUUGAGAUAUGUGCUUUCUCCUGCCAUCUUCAUGGCCUUCAUGUCCUGCUUCAGGACUCAGUGGGAAAUUCAAAAGGCCAGGAACUCUUGCCUAUGGAGUGAUAGCACUCAUGUCGGGUGGGCGGUAUCUAUUAACAAUCAAGACCAUCAAGACAAAUACCCCAUCGGCAUGCUCAUAGCCCAAUCUGAUCUGGGCAGUCCUUCAGUUGAGACAUCCUAGGUAAAUUGUUUAUAUGUGUGUCUUUCAAGAAUCUGCUUCCAGGGGAAUUCAAAGUAGGGUAUUGGAGCAGUCAACUCAGUUGCCCAGGACUACAUGGCUGGAAUGAAUUUAUAUCAGUUUCCCCAAGACAAAACCUCAUGAGAGAGGCAGCUGGUUUCUCUGGCCUUUCUACCUUUAAGAGGUCUUCAGCAAAGCCCUUGCCUUGUGGGAUUUAUGUGUUUAAUUCUGAGUUAAAACCCUUCAGUCUUGGGAUGGAGAGAUGGCUCAGUGGUUAAGAGCCCUGGCUUCUCUUCCAGAGGGCCUGGGUUCAAUUUCCAGCACCCACAUGGUAGCUUACAGCUGUCUGUAGUUCCAAUUCCUAAGGAUUUGACACCUUCACACAGGCACCAAUGUGCAUAUAAACAAAACAACAACAAAGCCCUUUAGUCUCAGAAGAAGAAACUCACUGAAAACAAAGUGGCCCAUUAGCAUUAGCGUUCAGAAAUGAGAAGAGCAAAGUCGUGUCCAGGUAGUAACAGGGCUGCCAACCACAGAAGGCACUGCCCUCUGAGCGUUGGGUGCCACUUGCUACAAAUCCUGGUUUGGAUGCUGACUCGAUGGAGGUGUGAAGCCUUGGGUGACCCUGGUGUGAAGCCCUGGGUGAUCUUGUUACCCUUCUCUAUCAGUUACCUUAUCUUAAAGCGGAUGAAAUUACAGUACCGGCUGCAUCUCUGCUGGGAAGCCACUCCACGCUGGGGCCUUGUCAGAGCAUUGAUCUCCUCCCAGAAGUGAGGCAUCUCAGGAAACUGAAACUCAUAAAGGCUGGGCUUGCCUAGAUAUCUGAGGCCUUAAGGUCCAGCUUGCCUCCCAUACCCUGGUACUUCAUCCCCUGGCUUCUUGUCAUCCCUAAAUUGGUUUUACAGUUUGUGGGCUCCCAUUCUGCCACAGUAUCUGAAGCUAAAUUAUGUACUAGCCAUUUCAGUAACUUUGCGAAGUACGAAAACCGCAUAUGCUUGCGCAGAUAUGGUUACAGAAUUCUGAUGUGAGAAAGUUUUAUUCAGACUACGAUUGAAUCAAUGUGUUAUCAUGGAUGAGUUGGUUAUUCAGGAACUAAUCAGUAGU
rnacentral:lncRNA from 1 species